CCAGCGGCCCAGCCGCCAAACGAACCCUAGCCCUCUUUCUCCUUCCCCUCGAUCCCCACGAGCCGCCGCACCCCUCCCUCGAUCCCCAGUUCCCCACGAUCCUCUCCUAGCCCGCAACCGCCGGUCUUGUCUCUCCACUCUACCAUGUCGUCGUCGAUCCCACCGUCGGCCUUCUCCUCUGCUUGCUUCCUCCGGUCCUCUUCCAUGUCACCGUCGUUCCAGAGCGGCGGCGGGGUCUCCGCGGUGCGGGUGGGGAUGUAGGGGAGGCGUGGGAUGCGGACGGCAGAGAGGAAGGCAAGCAACAGCGGGGAAUGAGCAGGUCAGCGAUCCUAGCGUUGGGAAGGGGCAGGGUGGGGCCUCACGCACCUGCCGGCGGCCGGCGGGAGCUUGAGCUCGAGACGAUGGAGGUGCUAAGGCGGGGCAGGAGAGGACGGCUCGCCGACGAGCUCGAGUUGGAGGCGCCGCUGGAUGAGAAAGAGCAUAGGAUCCAGGAAAGCAACCAUAGGAGACGGAGAAGACGUCCCCAUGGCUUCUACGAGGACCAGAAGCGUAUGCCUAUUAUUAGAGCUUGGAUAAGGGUAGGUGAUGCAAGGGGUCUCGUCCUAAAAUCAUCUUUGUUGGUUUGGAUGAUUUUGCAAGUUUCCUUCAGCAACCUGGGGUUGUUAAGAAGAGGGUCGGGAUUGCCCUAGGCAGAUGCUUAAAUUCCUGGAUGUAAACGCACACUUGCCUCCUACACAGGCCAAAAUACUAUUGGAGAUAAGGAUACUUGUUUUGCAUAUUUGCAUCUCGAAGAAGCUUGCCCGCUAUUGUAAGUCUGACAUUUUCUUGCUUGCUUGUGGAAAAACUAGUUCUCAUUCAGUUAUGCUUGUCAGUCUGAUAGAAGAUGGACACCCCUCUUCAAGUUGGUUUAUGGGCUUGCGGAGUGUGAGAAACCCCUGGUAUGGCUCCAUCCUUCGUCCCUUGCUCCGUGGCCUGGAUGUCGAGGGAGGGCGAGAGGUGGUGAUAUGUAGGGGUGAGGGAGAUGGAGGCGGUGGCCUGCAGCUCCUAUUGAAGGGGCGGAGAAGAGGGGGUGCGGAGAUGAGAGGCUAUUUUUGUUUAUUCCAUCAUGCAGUAUUUCUGAGUUGGUUCACUCUGAAAAAAGGCAAUGGAACACUAAAUAACCUGGCAACGGAUACCCUGUGGUCUACCAUUAUAAUUAUGUGUGCAUUUUGGAUCUAUUGGAUGUCUGAAUGUAAUGCUAAUUGACAUUUACUAUUGCAAAGAUUUUGCAGGGAUGUAGAUAUAUAUGGUGAUGUUUCACUACGAUCUAAGUGUUUCAGUUCAUAUUUAGCAGGAUCACAUGUUGACCAAUGACUCUUUGCUGCCAUGGUUGAUACCGCUCGGCGGCUGGAUCUGCCAUGGAGUGGCUACCAUGGGCCAACUAGAGUUGGGUGUCCCUUUUUCCGACCUCAAGGCGGUGAGAUUAGAGUCCAAUCUUGCAGGCUGAGAAAAAUAUUGGCAAGCAUUACCAUUAUGAUCCUCCCUUGAUCAUCAUUGUUGAAGGAAAACGUAUUAGAGAUGGUAUUGUCAAGCUAAAUGUACCAGCAGCCGAUGAUGGACCUUGUGAUGCAUAUAGUUUGCAUAUUUCUCUUCAUCCAGUUUCUUCAUCCAUUUUUUUCUGUUCGCUCAUUUCUUCUAGCGUAUUCCUGUCAGUAUUUUUCAGCUCAAGGAUAGAUGCUCUAAUUACCAAACGAAUGUGCAGGCAAUGCCCAUUUGAUUAGUUAUAUCCAUGUAGUCUAUGUUUGAUAGCAUAGUGUUGUAAAAACCAAAGAAUUUUAAAACUACAGUAUUUGCUCCUAUAGGUACAAGAUACCACGGUAAUAAUAUACCAGAGUAUUUAGGAGUAUUGGGAAUAAUGCAAACCUGUUACACUAGAGCUUAUAUGUAAAGUAAAUUA